GAUGAACGCUGGCGGCGUGCCUAAUACAUGCAAGUCGAGCGAACAGACGAGGAGCUUGCUCCUCUGACGUUAGCGGCGGACGGGUGAGUAACACGUGGAUAACCUACCUAUAAGACUGGGAUAACUUCGGGAAACCGGAGCUAAUACCGGAUAAUAUAUUGAACCGCAUGGUUCAAUAGUGAAAGACGGUUUUGCUGUCACUUAUAGAUGGAUCCGCGCCGCAUUAGCUAGUUGGUAAGGUAACGGCUUACCAAGGCAACGAUGCGUAGCCGACCUGAGAGGGGGGGAGCCCACACGGGAGGGAGACCAGCGACACGAGUCCGGGGGGAGGGACCAGAGGGCAACCUUGAGCAGGGGGGGAGAGUUGAACAGAAUAGCCCGGAGGGGGGAGCAGAGGUGCCGGGUGCGAAAACAUGGUUUAUGGGGAAAAAACAAAUGUGAAAGUAAAUGUACCGGUUUUGAGGGUAAUUAAUAAAAAAGCCCGGGCAAACUACGUG
rnacentral:rRNA from 1 species